rnacentral:rRNA from 1 species
CUACGGGAGGCUGCAGUGGGGAAUAUUGCACAAUGGGCGCAAGCCUGAUGCAGCCAUGCCGCGUGUAUGAAGAAGGCCUUCGGGUUGUAAAGUACUUUCAGCGGGGAGGAAGGGAGUAAAGUUAAUACCCUUGCUCAUUGACGUUACCCGCAGAAGAAGCACCGGCUAACUCCGUGCCAGCAGCCGCGGUAAUACGGAGGGUGCAAGCGUUAAUCGGAAUUACUGGGCGUAAAGCGCACGCAGGCGGUUUGUUAAGUCAGAUGUGAAAUCCCCGGGCUCAACCUGGGAACUGCAUCUGAUACUGGCAAGCUUGAGUCUCGUAGAGGGGGGUAGAAUUCCAGGUGUAGCGGUGAAAUGCGUAGAGAUCUGGAGGAAUACCGGUGGCGAAGGCGGCCCCCUGGACGAAGACUGACGCUCAGGUGCGAAAGCGUGGGGGGCAAACAGGAUUAGAUACCCCGGUAGUC